GGCCUUUGGCAAGUUUCUCCCUUUCCCAGAGUCGAUUGAUUGGAGGUCAGGAACGAUAGAACAUCACCGUCAAAGUCAUCGGACUAAAUUUUUUGAUCACCCUCUGUUACUUUUAUAAUAUUUCUAACGAAUUUUGAUGUCGCUCACGAAAGAUGGAAAAUAUUGAACAGACGCUAACGAUCGAAGACGACGUAUGGGAUUUUAUGCUGUGCGAGCGGGCGGAACUCGUGGAAAAGAGAGAGGAAGAAAAAGAAACGGAGGUGAGAGUGAAGGUGAAGAGAGAAAUAGAGGAAAAAGGAAAGGAAAAAAAA
rnacentral:misc_RNA from 1 species